ensembl:lncRNA
UUGCUGAUGGACUCUAAACAGGAGCAGAGAGUUCACAUCAGGCUGGGUAGAUUUCUGCGCAGUUCCCAGCUGAGUCACCAGAGAGGGGCCCGCCUUCAUCAUGGAUCAAUUUGAUUUCAAGCCCUGACAAAUACCCAGCUUCAAGAUGGGGGACAAUCUGUAAUGUGCUUUAUGAGAACACAAGGAAAUGAUGAAAAGUUCAAGAGUGACAGCUUGAAGUUCUGUAUGCAUACAAAAAGGACAACGUGAAUAAUGUCAGCAUGCACUUCCCCUUCCCUUCAGGAGCUCCAGAAUAUUUUAGAUGUGUAAAAAGAAUGUACUACUGUGACCUGACAUUACAAGUAUUUGAGGGGCAAAACCACAGCACUUCUAUAUUGACAGAUCACAUACUCUUAAUGCUGAGAUAUAUUUAUCUAUCUAGUACUCUAAGAUGCUGAAGGGGUAGGAUGUGCUUGAGAUAAAAAUAUGUCGGUACUGUUGAAUCAUACCAAAAACUUAACUUAAAAGACCUUCCUCUGACAAAAGCAACAACAACAAAACUGAAACAUAAAAUAUGCUAGACCUUCUUAUUUAAAUAGUAUUUGAAUUGAGCCAUUCUGACUACAAAGGCUUGAAGCCUGGAUACAGCCCUGAACUAAUUUCCUG